ACGGUCAUACCAUGCAGAAUAUAUUGUUUCUCGUUCGAUCACCGAAGUCAAUCAACAUCAGGCGCAGUCAGUACUUGGGAGGGCGACCACUCGAGAACACUACGUGUCGUUG